rnacentral:rRNA from 1 species
UGGGGGAUAUUGCACAAUGGGCGAAAGCCUGAUGCAGCGACGCCGCGUGGGGGAUGAAGGCCUUCGGGUUGUAAACUUCUUUUGCUCUGAACAAGGCAUGCCUUUGGGGUGUGUUGAGUGUAGGGGUUGAUUAGCGCCGGCUAACUACGUGCCAGCAGCCGCGGUAAUACGUAGGGCGCGAGCGUUGUCCGGAAUUAUUGGGCGUAAAGGGCUUGUAGGUGGCUGGUUGCGUCUGUCGUGAAAGCUCAUGGCUUAACUGUGGGUUUGCGGUGGGUACGGGCUGGCUUGAGUGCAGUAGGGGAGGCUGGAAUUCCUGGUGUAGCGGUGGAAUGCGCAGAUAUCAGGAGGAAUACCGGUGGCGAAGGCGGGUCUGUGGGCCGUUACUGACACUGAGGAGCGAAAGCGUGGGGAGCGAACAGG